AGGAUUAUAAGACACCUUUCGUCAAACAUUUUGACAGGUCUAUUGUUCUUUGACCUUUCAUUCCUAUUGUUCAUUUGACCCUUGACCUUGCCCCCCCUCCUAUCAUUAAUCAAAUGGACAGGUGUAUUGUUCAAUCUUUGCCCCCCCUUCCGUAUCAUUAAUCAAAUGGACAUGUGUAUUGUUAAUUGUCCAGAUGGGCUAGACCCCCCACGCCGCAUCAUCAAUGGCGUAUUGUUGAGCGUCCAUGAUCCCCCACGUCAUAGGCUAAUGUGUGUAAUGGUGUGUGGUUUCUUUUUUGUGAUAGCCCAUCGGUUCCCACAGCCCCCCUCCCUUCUGAGUGUAAUUCUAUUGUGUAUAACUCUUUAAAAGCUCAGAUCUGUCCGAAUGGUGAAAAGCCGAGCUCUAAGAAAAAAUGAUGAACCACGAGGAGCUGAAUGAAGCACCAAGCCACCUCUCAGAUAUGUUCCUCACCUAAAUAUGGUAUGGUCUGCUAGCUCUUGAGUGAGUGACAGAAGCUGAAGUCAAUGCAUGAACUUUUGCAGCCUUUUGCUGAACACACACAAACUCUUCAGAGUGACACAUUGUCUAUGUCAUUAAUACUCUCUUUGAGAUGUUCACGUUGGAUUUCGUAUGUUCAGUCUUAAACUUUGUGUUUAAAUGUGUUAUUUACAUGCAGCUCUCAGACACUUUUUGACCAGAACUAAAACUAUUGUGUAAAACUCUCUGUCCAGCAGCACAUCAAAUUAAUGGCUGUAAGCACACACACACACACACACACACACACACACACACACACACACACACACACACACACACACACACACACACACACACACACACACACACACACACACACUUCUCUAAGAAGUAAAAGGAUUACAUUCAAACAUUUCUAUCACUUCACAAAAGCAAUGGUUUACCAUCCUAAACCAUUUAUGGUCCUGUUGUAAACCACCAUGCAUUCUCAAGCCUAUAAGAACAAAAGUUGAUCCUUACCUCAGCGUGAAUGAAAUGGUUGUACGUUUCCUCAAAGUUAAAGAAUCUGUUUUUGUAGUAGCAGACAAGAUGGUAUGGUCUGCUAGCUCUCGAGUGAGUGACAGAAGCUGAAGUCAAUGCAUGAACUUUUGCAGCCUUUUGCUGAACACACACAAACUCUUCAGAGUGACACAUUGUCUAUGUCAUUAAUACUCUCUUUGAGAUGUUCACGUUGGAUUUCGUAUGUUCAGUCUUAAACUUUGUGUUUAAAUGUGUAAAUAUUUACAUGCAGCUCACUGACACUUUUUGACCAGAACUAAAACUAUUGUGUAAAACUCUCUGUCCAGCAGCACAUCAAAUUAAUGGUUGUAAACACACACACACACACACACACACACACACACACACACACACACACACACACACACACACACACACACACGCACACACACACACACUUCUCUAAGAAGUAAAGGGAUUACAUUCAAACAUUUGUCUUUGACUAAACCAUUCAAACAUUUCUAUCACUUCACAAAAGCAAUGGUUUACCAUCCUAAACCAUUUAUGGUCCUGUUGUAAACCACCAUGCAUUCUCAAGCCUAUAAGAACAAAAGUUGAUCCUUACCUCAGCGUGAUGCUUUUAAGAUCUGUUGAGCUUUUUUAAAGUUCAUUCUGAACAAUUUUGCACGGCCAGCGACUUCUGACAAAGCAAAUGACUUCUUUUUUUUUUUGCAGGUGGCGGGAAAGUUUUAAAAACAAAGAACUGGUUGAACCAAAUCGUCACAGAAACAACACACAAAAAGCAAAUUACUUACUUUUUUUGCAGGUGGGCUGUAUUGAAAGAGUGGCGGGAAAGUUUUAAAAACAAAGUUCUGGUUCAUUCUAACCAAGUCGGCAUGGUAACAAUUCACAAAAGCAAAUGACUUGCUAUUGUUUCAAAGAGCUAUUUAGGUGAACAGCAUCUUUGGUUCGUCAUCAUCAUCAGUGAAAGCUUAACCAUCGCCUCCUGCCUUUAGUGUCACAUUUUGUUUUCACUGUCACACACACACACACACACACACACACACACACACACACACACACACACACACACACACACACACACACACACACACACACACACACACACACACACACACACACACAUUGCUUCCUGCCUCAGAGAAAAGAUUUGAUCCAUUUUGUAGGACCUAUAACAGCUGAAAUAAAUAAAAAGCUGUUUAUGAGGUUUGUUUUUUGGGAGGGGUGGAUUAGUAAAGUCUCAGAGCAGACGUACCUCUGGUCAAACCUUUAAUGUCAUACCUCUCAGAAUAGUUAAACUAAGGCACAUGCAUGUCGUAAACGGAUUUACACACGAGUGAAAGAGCUGCUACAUUUUAACCAAAACAUGAGCGAAGAAGAAGAAUAAGAAGAACCGAUGGAUACGUGUUUUGAAUAUAGCCUUCCUCUGCUAAAAACAACGUUCGAAUUGAGACAUGAUGAGAUUUCAGGAAGAAAUGUCCGGUACAAAAACGGUACGGUAUUAUUUUUUGGAUCGUAAAGGUUUUUUUAUUUCUGCUCCGGGGAGUUUUGAUGAAGCAAUGGAUACGAGCACACACACACACACACACACACACACACACACACACACACACACACACACACACACACACACACACACACACACACACACACACACACACACAUUGCUUCCUGCCUCAGAGAAAAGAUUUGAUCCAUUUUGUAGGACCUAUAACAGCUGAAAUAAAUAAAAAGCUGUUUAUGAGGUUUGUUUUUUGGGAGGGGUGGAUUAGUAAAGUCUCAGAGCAGACGUACCUCUGGUCAAACCUUUAAUGUCAUACCUCUCAGAAUAGUUAAACUAAGGCACAUGCAUGUCGUAAAUGGAUUUACACACGAGUGAAAGAGCUGCUACAUUUUAACCAAAACAUGAGCGAAGAAGAAGAAUAAGAAGAACCGAUGGAUACGUGUUUUGAAUAUAGCCUUCCUCUGCUAAAAACAACGUUCGAAUUGAGACAUGAUGAGAUUUCAGGAAGAAAUGUCCGGUACAAAAACGGUACGGUAUUAUUUUUUGGAUCGUAAAGGUUUUUUUAUUUCUGCUCCGGGGAGUUUUGAUGAAGCAAUGGAUACGAGCACACACACACACACACACACACACACACACACACACACACACACACACACACACACACACACACACAACUCUAAACAACCAUUCAUACAUUUGUCUACCUAUACAACAAAGCAAAUGACUCUGUAUUGUUUAUAAACAUUUUUUUUUCGACCAAUCGCAACCGUUUUCUAUUCAAGAUUUUUUUAAACAGCUGUAUAAAAUGUAAAAGCGCAUUUUCGGAGUCGUGAUUUGAGGUGUAACAAGCUAAGAUGACGGGUAAGUUUUUAACUCAAGACGCAAAUCUUUUUUUUUCUCUUUCUGGUUUAACAUCUUUAUUUUCAGACGCUAUUGUCAUAUCGGACGGCGAGUGGGAAGAAAUUCCUAUUGAGGAAUUAACUUGUAAGACACCGAUCCCUCUGGAUGAUUUGUCUAAAAUUAAUCGCGCGGUCGAGAAUCUGAGUGAGUGGAUUUUAUAAAUAUAUACGUAACGUUCUUUUCUUCAACUGAGAAAUAUCUCAUUUUACAGAAAAGGAGGGGGUUCAACCUUACCCCGGAAGUGAUAACUUUUACCCAACCACGCCUCCAUCCACCAGCCGAACCGUCUUACAUUCGUAUCAGCCCAGCCAUACCGUCAGAUCACACGGGAAUGCGAGCGUGAAAGCUGUUCGUUACAGGACCAUCACGCCGCAGACGAUCCUCGAAGCUGAGCAACGUCCGACGGCCUACGCACCCCCAAUAUCUCAGCCCCCACCACCUCCAACCCCUUCUCAUGCGCAGACGGAUGAACAACAUCAGACAGCCGCUUCAAUAUCUCCGCCCACACCUCCUCCACCUCCUCCUCCUCCUCCUCCCCCA